rfam:Fungal sp. No.11243 DNA, scaffold: sccafold0001.
GCAUCAGUGGUUUAGUGGUAAAAUCCAUCGUUGCCAAUUUCGAAAGAAACAACGUCGAUGGGCCCCGUGUUCGAUUCACGGCUGAUGCA